rnacentral:pre_miRNA from 1 species
AUAGUACUUCCUCCGUCCGAAAAUACUUGUCAUCAAAAUGGACAAAAAGGGAUGUAUCUAAAACUAAAAUACAUCUAGAUACAUCUCCUUUUAUUCUUUUUGAUGACAAGUAUUUCCGGACGGAGGGAGUAUCUA